UACAGAGGUCUCAAGCGUUGUUUCGGAUUCAUUGGGCGUAAAGGGUGCGUAGGCGGCGCGGUAAGUCGGGUGUGAAAUCUCGGAGCUUAACUCCGAAACUGCAUUCGAUACUGCCGUGCUUGAGGACUGGAGAGGAGACUGGAAUUACGGUGUAGCGGUGAAUGCGUAGAUAUCGUAAGGAAGACCAGUGGCGAAGGCGGGUCUCUGGACCAGUUUCCUGACGCUGAGGCACGAAGGCCAGGGAGCAAACGGG
rnacentral:rRNA from 1 species